CUCUGCCUCAGGCUUCAUGAGCAGCACGCUUUGGUCCACUGCACGGAGGGCACAGAGCGACUGAGGAGAAGCUGUGACUCGCAGUGGUUGGCACUAUGUGAGACCCGAGGCUUUUUGUCCCCUACACUUCACUUUGAUUUCCAAGAACCAGAAUCCCCAACCACUUCCCCAUCAGGUAAAACGGCAUAGAUGAGCAAUCGAGCGACUGGAGCGAUGUCUGGUUCCACAGGGACCAACACAGAAAAAUGGCCUUUCACUGGAGCACAGAGACAAUGAAGAAGGGA